UGUACUGGGAUGUACGAGGAGAAAGGAUUUAUUCGCUGAGGGAUGGGCCUGCGGCCUAUCAGGUAGUUGGUGGGGUAAAGGCCUACCAAGCCUGCGACGGGUAGCCGGACUGAGAGGUCGACCGGCCGCACUGGAACUGAGACACGGUCCAGACUCCUACGGGAGGCAGCAGUGGGGAAUAUUGCACAAUGGGGGAAACCCUGAUGCAGCGACGCCGCGUGGAGGAUGACGGCCUUCGGGUUGUAAACUCCUUUUGUCAGGGACAAUGGUGAUGGUACCUGACGAAUAAGCCACGGCUAACUCUGUGCCAGCAGCCGCGGUAAGACAGAGGUGGCGAGCGUUGUUCGGAAUUACUGGGCUUAAAGGGCGCGUAGGCGGUGGUGUAAGUCUGGGGUGGAAUGCUACAGCUCAACUGUAGAGCUGCCUUGGAAACUGCAUUACUUGAGUCGGUGAGGGGAAGGCGGAAUUCCUGGUGUAGCGGUGAAAUGCGUAGAUAUCAGGAGGAAGGUCUGUGGCGAAGGCGGCCUUCUGGCACUUGACUGACGCUGAGGCGCGAAAGCGUGGGGAGCAAACAGGAUUAGAUACCCUGGUAGUCCACGCCCUAAACGGUGGGUAUUAGGUGUGGGGCCUUUAUGGGUUCCGUGCCGUAGCGAAAGCA
rnacentral:rRNA from 1 species